UACGUAGGAGGCAAGCGUUGUCCGGAGUGACUGGGCGUAAAGCGCCCGCAGGCGGUCCUGCACGUGGAAGCUGACAGCUCCCAGCUUACCUGGGAGAGUGUCUUCCAAACGGCGGGACUGGAGAGCGAGAGAGGGACAUGGAACUCCAGGUGGAGCGGUGAAAUGCGUAGAGAUCUGGAAGAACACCAAAGGCGAAGGCAGUGUCCUGGCUCGUGUCUGACGCUCGGGGGCGAAAGCUAGGGGAG
rnacentral:rRNA from 1 species